GCCAGGGAUGAUAAUGACAGUACCUGGUAAAGAAACCCCGGCUAACUCCGUGCCAGCAGCCGCGGUAAUACGGAGGGGGUUAGCGUUGUUCGGAAUUACUGGGCGUAAAGCGCGCGUAGGCGGGUUGUUAAGUUAGAGGUGAAAUCCCGGGGCUCAACCCCGGAACUGCCUUUAAUACUGGCAACCUAGAGUUCGAGAGAGGUGAGUGGAAUUCCGAGUGUAGAGGUGAAAUUCGUAGAUAUUCGGAGGAACACCAGUGGCGAAGGCGGCUCACUGGCUCGAUACUGACGCUGAGGUGCGAAAGUGUGGGGAGCAAACAGGAUUAGAUACCCUGGUAGUCCACACCGUAAACGAUGAAUGCCAGUCGUCGGGUAGCAUGCUAUUCGGUGACACACCUAACGGAUUAGCAUUCCGCCUGGGGAGUACGGUCGCAAGAUUAAAACUCAA
rnacentral:rRNA from 1 species